rnacentral:rRNA from 1 species
CAGCCGUAAACUAUGCGCGUUAGGUGUAUCGGUGACCACGAGUCACCGAGGUGCCGAAGGGAAACCGUGAAACGUGCCGCCUGGGAAGUACGGUCGCAAGGCUGAAACUUAAAGGAAUUGGCGGGGGAGGCACCACAACGGGUGGAGCCUGCGGUUUAAUUGGACUCAACGCCGGGAAGCUCACCGGAUAAGACAGCGGAAUGAUUGCCGGGCUGAAGACUCUGCAUGACUAGCUGAGAGGAGGUGCAUGGCGUAGACGUCU